ensembl:lncRNA
CUGGAGCCCCAUAGAGGGUUGUAACAACGGGGCCACUCUCUCCAUUCACCGAGAGAGGGGAGAGCGGUGCUGGUGGAGGAGGCGAGGAGGUGGUGGUGUGGCGUGGGGGUGGCGGUGGUGGUGGUGGUGAGAAGGAGGGGUGGCAGAGGAGGGAGAGGAGAAAACGUGUAAUCACCCAAACAACCGUUUGUUCUUUCUUUCUUUCUUUCUUUUUUUUUUUUUUUUCCCCAUUUCACCCCCUCUGGAUCCGUGUCGCAAGCCUGCAGUCUGCCGUGAGUCUGUCUGUCUUUCAUUGCGGAUACCGUGACGGAAGGCCGGACCACCGGGAGGAAAACACCAAGAGGGGGAAGAUGGAAACUGGAUGCAUGAGGAGAAGCACGUCGACAACACAUCCUGAAGUUCAAUUUUUAUAUAGGCGCAGUGGAGACAGACAGGAAAGGAGGGAGAAGAGUGGGGGAAGACAUGCAGCAAAGGGCCGGGAGCAGGAAUCGAACCCAGGCUGCUGCAUCGGGGACCACCUUCUGUAUUGCUGUCAGUGGUGACCGGUGAGGUGACGGACAGGACCCAGGAGAGGGGACAGCUGCUGCACGUCAAUCCACAUCAUAAUUUGAAAAGCUUUUCCACAUGAGCUGAAACAGAAAGAGAACGAAAAGAGGAACGAACCGACUAUCUGCUGCCUUCUCCUCCAUCAGUCACCUCCAUCUCCCUCCCGUCCGCCUUCUCACUUUUCCGCCUGUCUUUUGUUUUCUUCCCGGCAUGAAAUUAUAGUGUGCUCUUGCUUUUUAGAUGGUGAGGUGUAAAGUCGUGGCAUUCUUUGGUGCCUACAUCAACUUGUGUCCGCUGAAGAUGUUAUGAUCAAAAAGUGCAUUCAUUUUAGGUGUAAGUUAAAC